GGCUCCAUAGUGUAGUGGUUAGCACGUCUGCUUUACAUGCAGAAAGUCCUGGGUUCGCACCCCAAGUUGAGCCA
rfam:Pteropus alecto contig100075, whole genome shotgun sequence.